rnacentral:rRNA from 1 species
AUUGAACGCUGGCGGCAGGCCUAACACAUGCAAGUCGAGCGGGGUUUUCGGACCUAGCGGCGGACGGGUGAGUAAUGCGUAGGAAGCUACCCGAUAGAGGGGGAUACCCGUUGGAAACGACUGUUAAUACCGCAUAAUGUCUACGGACCAAAGUGUGGGACCUUCGGGCCACAUGCUAUCGGAUGCGCCGACGUGGGAUUAGCUAGUUGGUGGGGUAAUGGCUCACCAAGGCGACGAUCCCUAGCUGGUUUGAGAGGAUGAUCAGCCACACUGGAACUGAGACACGGUCCAGACUCCUACGGGAGGCAGCAGUGGGGAAUAUUGGACAAGGGGCGCAAGCCUGAUCCAGCCAUGCCGGGUGUGUGAAGAAGGCCUUCGGGUUGUAAAGCACUUUCAGUAGGGAGGAAGGGUUAAGUGUUAAUAGUACUUAAAUUUGACGUUACCUACAGAAGAAGCACCGGCUAACUCUGUGCCAGCCGCCGCCGUAACAC